AGCGAACGCUGGCGGUAGGCCUAACACAUGCAAGUCGAACGGCAGCACAGUAAGAGCUUGCUCUUACGGGUGGCGAGUGGCGGACGGGUGAGGAAUACAUUGGAACCUACUUUUUCGUGGGGGAUAACGUAGGGAAACUUACGCUAAUACCGCAUAUGACCUACGGGUGAAAGCAGGGGAUCUUCGGACCUUGCGCGAUUGAAUGAGCCGAUGUCGGAUUAGCUAGUUGGCGGGGUAAAGGCCCACCAAGGCGACGAUCCGUAGCUGGUCUGAGAGGAUGAUCAGCCACACUGGAACUGAGACACGGUCCAGACUCCUACGGGAGGCAGCAGUGGGGAAUAUUGGACAAUGGGCGCAAGCCUGAUCCAGCCAUACCGCGUGGAUGAAGAAGGCCUUCGGGUUGUAAAGCCCUUUUGUUGGGAAAGAAAAGCAGCAGGUUAAUACCCCGCUGUUCUGACGGUACCCAGAGAAUAAGCACCGGCUAACUUCGUG
rnacentral:rRNA from 1 species